UUUAUUUUUGUAACACAGAAAGGAAACAUAGCAACAUUUAAGACCUGCUCAAAUACUACAAGAAAUAUUUCUGCUAAUAGUGAAAGACAUAUUGUGAAUAAAAAUGGAACUACAAGAAAGCCCAGAGUAAACUGAUGGGAAACAUUCCUUUAAAAAGGUGAGAGUAAAAUAACUGUAUUUAGAAUAAAAUUGGAAAACUAAAAUCCAGUAAUACAUCUAAAAUUAGUUCCAGCUCAAUAGGAUUAGGAGAACAUGAAAUAAAAGAAUGUAAAGCAAUUAGUAAAAAAAAUCAGAGCUAUUCCAUCAUUACAAUUUUUUUAGCUAAUAUUCAAGAUUCCUGUUAGAAAUCUGUGGUUUUAAUCUCCUAAAAGAUAUUUGGUAAACAUACCUCCCUAAAACUAUGAGCCAAGGAACUGAUAUAUGGGAUAUGCCUAUUCUAUACAAAAGCUCAGGGAAUAUCUUAGAAAAGAAUGUGACAUGAUACAAACACAUUCAACUAAACACAGAAAAAUUCCAAUGUCCCAUAAUGUGAAAAUCUUAGGCUGAGAAUAUCAUAUUUUAGGCAUAAUAACUCCAAAUAUAUACCUAGUGACAUCUCAGAACAACUGGUUUGAUCCUAUUAAAAUUGAGGGUUUUUGAGACUUGAAUAUGGACUCAUCACUUUUACUUUUUUGAAUAUGCCCAGUAUUUAAUGUGAAACUCCAGCUGAAUGCCUCCUGCUGUUUGCCAAUCUAAUAUAAAGAACAUUUGUUCUUUAUAACAACAUCAUUAUUC